GUGGGGAAUAUUGGACAAUGGGGGGAACCCUGAUCCAGCCAUGCCGCGUGUGUGAAGAAGGCCUUUUGGUUGUAAAGCACUUUAAGCGAGGAGGAGGCUACCGAGAUUAAUACUCUUGGAUAGUGGACGUUACUCGCAGAAUAAGCACCGGCUAACUCUGUGCCAGCAGCCGCGGUAAUACAGAGGGUGCGAGCGUUAAUCGGAUUUACUGGGCGUAAAGCGUGCGUAAGCGGCUUUUUAAGUCGGAUGUGAAAUCCCCGAGCUUAACUUGGGAAUUGCAUUCGAUACUGGGAAGCUAGAGUAUGGGAGAGGAUGGUAGGAUUCCAGGUGUAGCGGUGAAAUGCGUAGAGAUCUGGAGGAAUACCGAUGGCGAAGGCAGCCAUCUGGCCUAAUACUGACGCUGAGGUACGAAAGCAUGGGGAGCAAACAGGAUUAGAUACCCUAGUAGUCC
rnacentral:rRNA from 1 species